AGUGAACGCUGGCGGUAGGCCUAACACAUGCAAGUCGAACGGCAGCACAGUAAGAGCUUGCUCUUACGGGUGGCGAGUGGUGGACGGGUGAGGAAUACAUCGGAAUCUACUUUUUCGUGGGGGAUAACGUAGGGAAACUUACGCUAAUACCGCAUACGGCCUACGGGUGAAAGCAGGGGAUCUUCGGACCUUGCGCGAUUGAAUGAGCCGAUGUCGGAUUAGCUAGUUGGCGGGGUAAAGGCCCACCAAGGCGACGAUCCGUAGCUGGUCUGAGAGGAUGAUCAGCCACACUGGAACUGAGACACGGUCCAGACUCCUACGGGAGGCAGCAGUGGGGAAUAUUGGACAAUGGGCGCAAGCCUGAUCCAGCCAUACCGCGUGGGUGAAGAAGGCCUUCGGGUUGUAAAGCCCUUUUGUUGGGAAAGAAAAGCAGCAGGUUAAUACCCCGCUGUUCUGACGGUACCCAAAGAAUAAGCACCGGCUAACUUCGUG
rnacentral:rRNA from 1 species